AUUAGCCUGCUGUGUGCGUCACAUCGAAUAUGUUUUGAGCCAACACUAUUACAUUGGGAACCCGGAGUUUACCCGCGGAGCACAUGCCAUUUAUGGACUUGCAAAGCGGGUAGCAGGGUACCCACCUGCGAGCGCAGGUUUCAAAACACUCGAUUAAGACGGCACGGCGGGUUUUUA
rnacentral:other from 1 species